rnacentral:rRNA from 1 species
UGAGUAACACGUAUCCAACCUGCCGUCUACUCUUGGACAGCCUUCUGAAAGGAAGAUUAAUACAAGAUGGCAUCAUGAGUCCGCAUGUUCACAUGAUUAAAGGUAUUCCGGUAGACGAUGGGGAUGCGUUCCAUUAGAUGGUAGGCGGGGUAACGGCCCACCUAGUCUUCGAUGGAUAGGGGUUCUGAGAGGAAGGUCCCCCACAUUGGAACUGAGACACGGUCCAA